AUAAUAUUUUUUUAUUUUUUAAAAUUUAUUUUUGACAUUAAAGUUAACAUGAGACUUGAACACCGAGUACAACGUUGUUGAAAAGGAUACAAUGGACCACAUCUUUAUUCGAAGGCUGAAAGUGACCUUAUUGAAAAGGAUACAAUGGACCACAUCUCAUCGUUUUCUGCAGGCUUCCAUUUUUCUGGAGACUUAUUUUCUUCGCUUUAUAGAGUGCAUGCUUUCUACAUUCAUGGGAUUCCAAAAACUAGAGAGUACUCUUCGUCAAUGAAUCGCACAGAGCAUUAUUGGACCCCAUGAAUUAGCAUCACAUGAUAAAACAGAGAAAAAAUUUAUUGGACCGCUUGAAUCAGCAUCACAGUAUUUACUGGUGAUAGAGGAUUUUAAUCCUAUUAGUUCAGCAACAUGACAGGUUUAAGUCUUAAUUACUAGCUGAUCACAUUGGCACAGGAUCAAU
rnacentral:lncRNA from 1 species